CGUGUAGGUGGAACUUUAAGUCGGUGGUGAAAGCCUGCAGCUUAACUGCAGAACUGCCCUCGAUACUGAAGUUCUUGAGUGCGGCAGAGGGAGAUGGAAUUCAUGGUGUAGCGGUGAAAUGUGUAGAUAUCAUGAAGAACACCGGUAGCGAAGGCGGUCUCCUGGUCCGUAACUGACACUGAGGCGCGAAAGCGUGGGGAGCAAACAGGAUUAGAUACCCUGGUAGUCCACGCCUUAAACGAUGGGUACUAGGUGCUGGGCCGCAAGGUUCAGUGCCAAAGCUAACGCAUUAAGUACCCCACCUGGGGAGUACGAUCGCAAGGUUGAA
rnacentral:rRNA from 1 species